rnacentral:sRNA from 2 species
AAUCACACCCGACCAAAUGACGCGCGCGGCAGGAGCGGGGGAACCACGCAGGCCGCCGUACCGGAUCACUCCGGUACGGCUCGGGGUGAAGCCGUUCCGGUGAUCCGCUUCCGCUUCCGCGGACGUUCCCGUACGGCCGGACAUCUCCAGUCCGAACCCGACAGCUCACCUCGCAGGCGCCGGAGAGGAAUU